rnacentral:rRNA from 1 species
CCUACGGGUGGCUGCAGUGAGGAAUAUUGGUCAAUGGACGCAAGUCUGAACCAGCCAUGCCGCGUGCAGGAUGACGGCUCUAUGAGUUGUAAACUGCUUUUUUACGAGGGUAAACCCCGAUAUGUGUAUCGUGUUGAAAGUAUCGUACGAAUAAGGAUCGGCUAACUCCGUGCCAGCAGCCGCGGUAAUACGGAGGUUCCGAGCGUUAUCCGGAUUUAUUGGGGUUAAAGGGUGCGUAGGCGGUUUGAUAAGUUAGACGUGAAAUGUCCGGGCGCAACCCCUAAACUGCCUAUAAUACUGUUAGACUAGAGAAUAGUUGCGGUAGGCGGAAUGUAUGGUGUAGCGGUGAAAUGCGUAGAGAUCAUACAGAACACCGAUUGCGAAGGCAGCCUACCAAAAUAUAUCUGACGUUGAGGCACGAAAGCGUGGGUAGCAAACAGGAUUAGAUACCCCAGUAGUC